rnacentral:rRNA from 1 species
CAGCAGCCGCGGUAAUACGUAGGUGGCAAGCGUUGUCCGGAAUUAUUGGGCGUAAAGCGCGCGCAGGCGGUUCCUUAAGUCUGAUGUGAAAGCCCACGGCUCAACCGUGGAGGGUCAUUGGAAACUGGGGGACUUGAGUGCAGAAGAGGAGAGCGGAAUUCCACGUGUAGCGGUGAAAUGCGUAGAGAUGUGGAGGAACACCAGUGGCGAAGGCGGCUCUCUGGUCUGUAACUGACGCUGAGGCGCGAAAGCGUGGGGAGCAAACAGGAUUAGAUACCCUGGUAGUCCACGCCGUAAACGAUGAGUGCUAAGUGUUAGAGGGUAUCCACCCUUUAGUGCUGGAGCUAACGCAUUAAGCACUCCGCCUGGGGAGUACGCUCGCAAGAGUGAAACUUAAAGGAAUUGGCGGG